rnacentral:rRNA from 1 species
AAUUGAAGAGUUUGAUCAUGGCUCAGAUUGAACGCUGGCGGCAGGCCUAACACAUGCAAGUCGAACGGUAACAGAAAGCAGCUUGCUGCUUUGCUGACGAGUGGCGGACGGGUGAGUAAUGUCUGGGAAACUGCCUGAUGGAGGGGGAUAACUACUGGAAACGGUAGCUAAUACCGCAUAACGUCGCAAGACCAAAGAGGGGGACCUUCGGGCCUCUUGCCAUCGGAUGUGCCAGAUGGGAUUAGCUAGUAGGUGGGGUAACGGCUCACCUAGGCGACGAUCCCUAGCUGGUCUGAGAGGAUGACCAGCCACACUGGAACUGAGACACGGUCCAGACUCCUACGGGAGGCAGCAGUGGGGAAUAUUGCACAAUGGGCGCAAGCCUGAUGCAGCCAUGCCGCGUGUAUGAAGAAGGCCUUCGGGUUGUAAAGUACUUUCAGCGGGGAGGAAGGGAGUAAAGUUAAUACCUUUGCUCAUUGACGUUACCCGCAGAAGAAGCACCGGCUAACUCCGUGCCAGCAGCCGCGGUAAUACGGAGGGUGCAAGCGUUAAUCGGAAUUACUGGGCGUAAAGCGCACGCAGGCGGUUUGUUAAGUCAGAUGUGAAAUCCCCGGGCUCAACCUGGGAACUGCAUCUGAUACUGGCAAGCUUGAGUCUCGUAGAGGGGGGUAGAAUUCCAGGUGUAGCGGUGAAAUGCGUAGAGAUCUGGAGGAAUACCGGUGGCGAAGGCGGCCCCCUGGACGAAGACUGACGCUCAGGUGCGAAAGCGUGGGGAGCAAACAGGAUUAGAUACCCUGGUAGUCCACGCCGUAAACGAUGUCGACUUGGAGGUUGUGCCCUUGAGGCGUGGCUUCCGGAGCUAACGCGUUAAGUCGACCGCCUGGGGAGUACGGCCGCAAGGUUAAAACUCAAAUGAAUUGACGGGGGCCCGCACAAGCGGUGGAGCAUGUGGUUUAAUUCGAUGCAACGCGAAGAACCUUACCUGGUCUUGACAUCCACGGAAGUUUUCAGAGAUGAGAAUGUGCCUUCGGGAACCGUGAGACAGGUGCUGCAUGGCUGUCGUCAGCUCGUGUUGUGAAAUGUUGGGUUAAGUCCCGCAACGAGCGCAACCCUUAUCCUUUGUUGCCAGCGGUCCGGCCGGGAACUCAAAGGAGACUGCCAGUGAUAAACUGGAGGAAGGUGGGGAUGACGUCAAGUCAUCAUGGCCCUUACGACCAGGGCUACACACGUGCUACAAUGGCGCAUACAAAGAGAAGCGACCUCGCGAGAGCAAGCGGACCUCAUAAAGUGCGUCGUAGUCCGGAUUGGAGUCUGCAACUCGACUCCAUGAAGUCGGAAUCGCUAGUAAUCGUGGAUCAGAAUGCCACGGUGAAUACGUUCCCGGGCCUUGUACACACCGCCCGUCACACCAUGGGAGUGGGUUGCAAAAGAAGUAGGUAGCUUAACCUUCGGGAGGGCGCUUACCACUUUGUGAUUCAUGACUGGGGUGAAGUCGUAACAAGGUAACCGUAGGGGAACCUGCGGUUGGAUCACCUCCUUA